rnacentral:rRNA from 1 species
GCAAGUCGAGCGGAAACGAAGAUAGCUUGCUAUCAGGCGUCGAGCGGCGGACGGGUGAGUAACGCGUAGGAACCUACCUAAUAGUUUGGGAUAGCCAUUGGAAACGAUGAUUAAUACCGGAUACGCCCUACGGGGGAAAGCAGAGGACCUUCGGGCUUUGCGCUAUUAGAUGGGCCUGCGUGAGAUUAGCUAGUUGGUGGGGUAAUGGCCCACCAAGGCGACGAUCUCUAGCUGGUCUGAGAGGAUGAUCAGCCACACUGGGACUGAGACACGGUCCAGACUCCUACGGGAGGCAGCAGUGGGGAAUAUUGCACAAUGGGCGAAAGCCUGAUGCAGCCAUGCCGCGUGUGUGAAGAAGGCUCUAGGGUUGUAAAGCACUUUCAGUCGGGAGGAAAGGAUAGUAGUUAAUACCUGCUAUCUGUGACGUUACCGACAGAAGAAGCACCGGCUAACUCCGUGCCAGCAGCCGCGGUAAUACGGAGGGUGCGAGCGUUAAUCGGAAUUACUGGGCGUAAAGCGUACGUAGGUGGUUUGUUAAGUUGGAUGUGAAAGCCCAGGGCUCAACCUUGGAACUGCAUACAAAACUGGCGAACUAGAGUAUGGUAGAGGUGAGUGGAAUUUCCUGUGUAGCGGUGAAAUGCGUAGAGAUGGGAAGGAACAUCAGUGGCGAAGGCGACUCACUGGACCAAUACUGACACCGAGGUACGAAAGCGUGGGUAGCAAACAGGAUUAGAU